AGUUUAAUUUUUAAAGCCAAAAAUAAUAUUAAAAUGUUCUACACUGAAACCCUAUUCCAACUUCUUCUUCUCCCAAACUCCUCUCCUUGUUCUCAUUCUCUCGCGCCCAUCCGCUUCUCUCCCUCGCUCAAUGAUCCUGACGGGUAUCCCAUCGUCUCGCGCCAGCCCCUUUCUCGCCUCUCUCUCUCUCUCUCUCUCUCUCUCUCUCUCUCUCUCUCUCUCUCUCUAUACAAGACCUAGAACCAGACCCCUCCUCCCCCUCUCCUUCUGUCCUCGACCCUCUCUGUUUGAUCGGCGUUGCGACCGAAUCGGCCGUCGAAGGCCUAGCCCACCCCCUCUCUGUUCCAUUCAGUGUCAUCAUGGAAUACGGUCAUUAUAGGUUUCCAAGUGGCUGCAGACACAGGGUUUUAGGAGAUUAUUCAAUGUGUCAGCAGGAAUUCAUGCAUAUGCUCUCAAAGCUGAUUAAACAAUUCCUACCUAUUGAUUUGUUGAAGUGGUUGAUGAAACUUGUAAAAUUUGGAAUUUAUAUUUUGCUUGUUCUUUAUUUUCUUGUGAAAUGACUAAAACUUGUGUUUGUGCAUAUUCUAUGUGUAAUGCCAUGUAUGGAUCAAUUAAUGGUUUAUGGACCAUAUAUUGAUGUUUAUUUAGGUAUCUCUAAUAGGUUUUUGGAUGUAACUUUUAAGUGGACAAUAAAUUUUGGAAUAUGCAUUUUUGUUCUUUUA